rnacentral:rRNA from 1 species
GAUGAACGCUGGCGGCGUGCCUAAUACAUGCAAGUCGAGCGAACAGACGAGGAGCUUGCUCCUUCGACGUUAGCGGCGGACGGGUGAGUAACACGUAGGUAACCUACCUAUAAGACUGGGAUAACUUCGGGAAACCGGAGCUAAUACCGGAUAAUAUUUCGAACCGCAUGGUUCGAUAGUGAAAGAUGGCUUUGCUAUCACUUAUAGAUGGACCUGCGCCGUAUUAGCUAGUUGGUAAGGUAACGGCUUACCAAGGCAACGAUACGUAGCCGACCUGAGAGGGUGAUCGGCCACACUGGAACUGAGACACGGUCCAGACUCCUACGGGGGGCAGCAGUAGGGAAUCUUCCGCAAUGGGCGAAAGCCUGACGGAGCAACGCCGCGUGAGUGAUGAAGGUCUUCGGAUCGUAAAACUCUGUUAUUAGGGAAGAACAAACGUGUAAGUAACUGUGCACGUCUUGACGGUACCUAAUCAGAAAGCCACGGCUAACUACGUG